rnacentral:rRNA from 1 species
ACGGGAGGCAGCAGUGGGGAAUAUUGCACAAUGGGGGAAACCCUGAUGCAGCGACGCCGCGUGAGUGAAGAAGUAUCUCGGUAUGUAAAGCUCUAUCAGCAGGGAAGAUAAUGACGGUACCUGACUAAGAAGCCCCGGCUAACUACGUGCCGGCAGCCGCGGUAAUACGUAGGGGGCAAGCGUUAUCCGGAUUUACUGGGUGUAAAGGGUGCGUAGGUGGUAUGGCAAGUCAGAAGUGAAAACCCGGGGCUCAACCCCGUGGAUUGCUUUUGAAACUGUCAAACUAGAGUACAGGAGAGGCAAGUGGAAUUCCUAGUGUAGCGGUGAAAUGCGUAGAUAUUAGGAGGAACACCAGUGGCGAAGGCGGCUUGCUGGACUGCUACUGACACUGAGGCACGAAAGCGUGGGGAGCAAACAGGAUUAGAUACCCUGGUA